AUUGAACGCUGGCGGCAGGCCUAACACAUGCAAGUCGAACGAGUGGCGGACGGGUGAGUAAUGUCUGGGAAACUGCCUGAUGGAGGGGGAUAACUACUGGAAACGGUAGCUAAUACCGCAUACCAUCGGAUGUGCCCAGAUGGGAUUAGCUAGUAGGUGGGGAAAAGGCUCACCUGGGAGACGAUCCCUAGCUGGUCUGAGAGGAUGACAAGCCACACUUGAAAUGAGGCAAGGGCCAGACCCCUAAGGGAGGCAGCAGUGGGGAAUAUGGCACAAUGGGCGCAAGCCUGAUGCAGCCAUGCCGCGUGUAUGAAGAAGGCCUUCGGGUUGUAAAGUACUUUCAGCGGGGAGGCGUUACCCGCAGAAGAAGCACCGGCUAACUCCGUGCCAGCAGCCGCGGUAAUA
rnacentral:rRNA from 1 species